GGUGUAAUGGGGGAGGAGUACCCAAGAAGGAACUAUUUAUAGGACAAGAUGGGCAAGGGCAAAUCUGACUUAUCUCUCUGCCGCAUCCGAGAAGCCUGAGGGUACUCAGGUGGAUAUGGUAACUGUUCGCACGGUAAUCCAGGGAUUGUGCAGGUGAUUUGACGGGAAGCGGUCAUUAUCUAAAGAUAUUUUACUGUGCGAGAUCUCC
rnacentral:lncRNA from 1 species